rfam:Oryza sativa Japonica Group DNA, chromosome 12, cultivar: Nipponbare, complete sequence.
AAUAAGCGUAUCUGUCGGUUUCAGGGUCCAAAUUUAACCAUCUGUUUUAUUUGAAAUAUUUUAUGAUUAGCAUUUUUACUGUUAUUAGAUGAUAAAAUAUGAAUAGUGUUUUAUGCAUAAAUUUUUCAAAUAAGAACGUUGGACACAGAAACUUAUGGCUGCAAUUAUA